rnacentral:lncRNA from 1 species
GAUUGAACUAUGAAGCCCGGAGGACUAGGAUCACUCCACGACCUACAAUACUAAAGCCCUUAGCCCCCCCUACUAUCAACCGAGUCCCUACACCAAAAAGGUUAACAAGAGAAGAACUUUGGGAGCGAUCUGCGAAGGGGCUAUGUUGGCAUUGUGACGAGCCGUGGAGCCGCGAGCAUCGCUGUAAAAAAGGUAGACUU